AUUCCAAAGGUUUUUAUGCACAGAUCGUGAUAUUAUUUGCUUUAUACUUAGUUUUAAAAUAUGAGUUUGUGGAAUUUGCCAGUAAUGCAAGAAGCUUCGGUAAAAUUUCGACAGCAAUACAGAAAUUUCGCUGAAAAUUUCUAAAGGGGAAAACAAGGAAGUGCGUGUUUAGAUGGCUGCUGUUGCCGAAGAUUGCAUGAAGCCGAGUCUUCGCAGUUCUCUGAUGUUUUUUGAGUGAAACCAAAUCUCUGUGUUUUUCGGGAGAAUAAUAACUCCAAAAAAUACAGAAAGAGUCGAAGAAGAAUCUGUUACCAGGUCCACGUGUGGAUGAAUGAUUAAAAUGCUGAAGUCAAUAGUUUGCUCGGAGUUUGAAUUUUGAUGAAGGGGUUGGCUGAAUAGACGCUUGUGUUUUUCCUGACCUGUAAAGAACUAAGGUGGGACACGACAGAAGCUGACAGACGGGAAAAGAAAAAACUCGGAGCCUCAAUGCGAAUGAAUAAAACUGUAUGUUGUGAAAUAAAAGUGAAUUUCAUCAGAGAAAUAUUUUCAGCUAUUGGAAGAAUGAGAGAAAUGUUUAAAAGAGAAUAAUGUAUUACUAAAGUGCUUAAUUUUAAGCUUAAAGAAUUAGCUUAUUAAAAAUGUUUUAGGAAUUUA